rnacentral:rRNA from 1 species
GACGAACCGUGCGAACGUUAUUCGGAAUCACUGGGCUUAAAGCGCGUAUAGGCGGGACGGUGCGUCGGCCGCUGAAAUCCCCCGGCUCAACCGGGGAAGGGGCGCCGAUACGACCGCCCUGGAGCGACGUAGGGGGAACUGGAACUUCCGGUGGAGCGGUGAAAUGCGUUGAGAUCGGAAGGAACGCCCGUGGCGAAAGCGAGUUCCUGGACGUCGGCUGACGCUGAGACGCGAAAGCCAGGGGAGCGAACGGG